AGUUUCUUGAAAUCCUGCCCACUUCUUUGCAUUGUGUUGUCAUGCUUCAGUGAUGUGUGAGUGUUUAUAGUGCUGUGAGUUUAACACUUCAUGACUGAGAUCAGAACAGAACAGAAUCUUCAUCAUCACACAAACCAAAAGAACAACAAUGACUUUCAUCAUCAUCUUCAUCUGGACACUUUCAGUUUUUAUUCUGGAAUCAAGAGGAGUAACUCUGACUCAACCUAAAGAAAAAAGUGUUCAACAAGGACAAACAGCUACAAUAGAGUGUCAUAUAGAUGUAGGAAUAUAUAGCAGCCACUUAUACUGGUACUUACAGAGACCUGGAGAAACUCCUAAACUCCUCAUAAAAUACAUAAAUAACCUUCAGUCAGGAACUCCAUCAAGAUUCAGUGGCAGUGGAACAGUAAACACUGGAAAAGAUUUCACUUUGACCAUCAGUGGAGUUCAGACUGAAGAUUCAGGAGAUUAUUACUGUCAGAGUUAUCACAGUAGUGGUGAUGUGUUGACACAGUGAUAAAGAGUGAUACAAAAACCUCUUUCAGUCAGACUGCACAGUGACUGCACUCAUACACCUGACAGAUACUGCAGAUGAUGAUGCUGAUAGUUUAUUUAACUUACAGCUCAUUUAUUUCCUACUAUAGUUUAUUUAAAUGACAACUUUAUAGAUAAUGAUACAUUUAAUUAAUUAAUUAUUUAUUUAUUUUAUUCUUUGAUAGUUGUAAAUCAUAUCAUUAAUUUAUUGUCUAUCUAUUAAUUUCUGCUGUGUUAUAACAACCUCAACAUUGAUGAUUUUUAUUAUUAUUGUACU